rfam:Triticum aestivum genome assembly, contig: Triticum_aestivum_CS42_TGACv1_scaffold_306829_4AS
UGUGUACUCCCUCCGUUCCAAAAUACUUGACUUCCAUUUGUCCAAAAAUGGAUGUACCUAUAUACUAAAACAUGUCUAGAUACAUAUAUAUUUUGACAAAUAGAAGGCAUGUAUUGUGCGACGGAGGGAGUAGAAU